UGGGAGGAAGUUGUUGCUCAACCGCUUAAAUUAGCGGUAGCGAGAAGCCUGGCGAUUGGUGCCUGGAUUGUAUCGCGUUUCCAAGGCGAAGCUGGAGCGGCGGCGGCGCCGGGGACAGCAGGGGAAGUCCAGUGCGGCUCAGCCCGGUCUGGCCAGGGGUUGGGGACGCGACCAUGAGUUUGGCCUUGAGGAAUGAUCUUGCAGUAGACAAAACCAAAAGGAAGAAAAGAAGAGAAUUGACUGAAGAACAGAAGCAAGAAAUUAAAGAUGCUUUUGAGUUGUUUGACACAGACAAAGAUAAAGCAAUAGAUUAUCACGAAUUAAAGGUGGCAAUGAGAGCCUUGGGUUUUGAUGUAAAAAAAGCUGAUGUGCUAAAAAUACUUAAAGAUUAUGAUAGAGAUGCAACAGGCAAAAUCACCUUUGAAGAUUUUAAUGAAGUUGUGACAGACUGGAUAUUGGACAGAGAUCCACAAGAAGAGAUACUCAAAGCAUUCAAAUUAUUUGAUGAUGAUGACUCAGGUAAAAUAAGCUUGAGAAACCUGCGCCGUGUUGCUAGAGAACUAGGUGAAAACAUGUCUGAUGAAGAACUACGGGCUAUGAUUGAAGAAUUUGAUAAAGAUGGAGAUGGAGAAAGUUAGAACGAAGAUCUUUUGGGUGCUUUAACUAUAUGAAUAUCCACUGCUUAACACGUUUGGCUUUCAUUUACAUGUAAAUUUAACUCUGGAGUUUGCAGUGCUUAGUUGGGGAUAUUAAGUACAACAUCUCUGUAACUUUCACUCUUAAGUUGGGUGUGGCCCUGCCUGUGUGUGUGCUGGAGGAGGCUUAAUAGCUUGGCUCAGCAAGACAGUCAACCAGGAGGAGUUCAUUGCUAUUAUGACCGGAGAUGUUUAAAGUUACAAGAAAAUGAACUCAACAACAAAAAGGGAGGAUUAUUGGCUGUUAACAUUUUAAUUGCCAUCUUAUGGUUCUGUUUAUUUCUGUAGCUGGACCCAUGCAAAAAAAUUAUUUUCCUCAAAGGACCAAAAUAAACAUAUGUUUUACGUACUGAUACUUCAGUAAUUUGUAACAUUAAUUUUUAGAGUAAGCAGUGUUAAGUUUCUAAAAUGUUUGAGUAUUCAUUUGUAAAAUAGCUUUGUAUGAGAUUUCUAAAUUAAAUCAUAUUCUAAAAAUCUUUUGACGUUUACUUUGUUAGCAGUAGCUGUGGCCUUAGUUUUGAUAUAUAAAGUUUUAACAAACUUCCAUUUUUAAUAAAAUGUUCUUUUAUUAUUGGUA